rnacentral:rRNA from 1 species
UACAGAGGUCUCAAGCGUUGUUCGGAUUCAUUGGGCGUAAAGGGUGCGUAGGGCGGCGCGGUAAGUCGGGUAGUGAAAUCUUGGAGCUUAACUCCGAAACUGCAUUCGAUACUGCCGUGCUUGAGGACUGGAGAGGAGGAACUGGAAUUUACGGUGUAGCGGUGAAAUGCGUAGAUAUCGUAAGGAAGACCAGUGGCGAAGGCGGGUCUCUGGACAGUUCCUGACGCUGAGGCACGAAGGCCCAGGGGAGCAAACGGG